rnacentral:misc_RNA from 1 species
GAUGAAGAACGCAGCGAAAUGCGAUACGUAGUGUGAAUUGCAGAAUUCAGUGAAUCAUCGAAUCUUUGAACGCACAUUGCACCUCUCGGUAUUCCGGGAGGUAUGCCUAUUCGAGCGUCAUUUGUACCCUCAAGCUCUGCUUGGUGUUGGGUGUUUGUUCCGCCUCUGUGUGUGAACUCGCCUCAAAACAAUUGGCAGCCGGCGUACUUGUUUCGGAGCGCAGCACAUUUUGCGAUCCAGAUCAACGUACAGCGGCAUCCAAGAAGCCUUAUUUAACGCUCUUGACCUCGGAUCAGGUAGGGAUACCCGCUGAACUUAAGCAUAUCAAUAAGCGGAGGA